rnacentral:rRNA from 1 species
GCUUACGGCCAUACCAGCCUGGGUACGCCCGAUCUUGUCUGAUCUCGGAAGCUAAGCAGGGUCGGGCCUGGUUAGUACUUGGAUGGGAGACCGCCUGGGAAUACCAGGUGCUGUAAGAA